CCUACGGGAGGCAGCAGUAGGGAAUCUUCCACAAUGGACGAAAGUCUGAUGGAGCAACGCCGCGUGAGUGAAGAAGGGUUUCGGCUCGUAAAGCUCUGUUGGUAGUGAAGAAAGAUAGAGGUAGUAACUGGCCUUUAUUUGACGGUAAUUACUUAGAAAGUCACGGCUAACUACGUGCCAGCAGCCGCGGGAAUACGGAGGUGGCAAACGUUGUCCGGAUUUAUUAGGCGUAAAGCGAGUGCAGGCGGUUUAAUAAGGCU
rnacentral:rRNA from 1 species